AGAUGUAUAUAAGAGCCAGUCAGUCCUCUUCCACGUGGGCAGACAAGGGCCCCUUUGGAUUCUGACAUCUUCGUCAUUUUCCUGAAGCCACACAGCUAAAACAAACCUCACUUCCCCUCAUCCUUGCUGUGCCUUCUUAAAGAACCCGGCUCUCAGAUGAAUCGAGGAGGGCUGUUUGUAACAUCAGCCUCAAGGCCCUGAAUGUUCAGUUAAGAUGCAAGGACACGUAACACAGGAAAGCAUCUUAGGCCUCAGCUGUGCUAGCGACUUCGUGACCUCACAUCUGAGCCGCUUGUUGCCACCACGGGCGUCCUGGCUCUGUGCACUUUGCGACACCUGUGCCCAUGUUACCAGCAGGCUUGAAAGAGUAGCCAGAACUUGCCCAGUCGCAGCACGGUUCCCCAGUUCCUACUUUUGCAGCGAUGCCUUGGAAGAUUGUCUUGAUGUGGGGCCUGUGGAAAGGAACCGUAUAGUUUAGCUACUGAAAAGAGAGGGGUUGAGAUCUCAAGAUACUCAAGGACUAUCGCCCCCCCCCCCCAAUUCUGUUCAAAUGGAGAGGCUGAAUGGGAGGUGGAAAAAAGUAACGAACGUGCCAGAAGUGCCAAGGGAAACCUGUCAGAGGCUGCGGGCUCUGUGAUUAGAGCAGACAGACGGACAGACAGAA